rnacentral:misc_RNA from 1 species
UGAAGCUUUAUUUACACUCAUCUUGGAGAUCCAUAGGAGGCGAGAUAUGAUGGCCAUGCAUAUGCAAAUGCUAGAUCAACACCUUCAUUGUCCCACAUUUGGUACUCAUCGGAUUCUGUCUCAAACAACGCCUAACAUUUCUGUUGAAGCAGUAGCAAACUUGCGCUAUUCCCCAAUAACAUAUCCAAGUGUACUUGGAGAACCGUU